CCGGCGACCGGCGCACGGUGAGUAACGCGUAUCCAACCUGCCCUUUACUAUGGGACAGCCCGUCGAAAGGCGGAUUAAUACCGUAUGUUGUCAUGUUGAUGCAUAUUUUCAUGACCAAAGGCUUCGGCCGGUAAAGGAUGGGGAUGCGUCUGAUUAGCUUGCCGGCGGGGUAACGGCCCACCGGGGCGACGAUCAGUAGGGGUUCUGAGAGGAAGGUCCCCCACAUUGGAACUGAGACACGGUCCAAACUCCUACGGAAGGCAGCAG
rnacentral:rRNA from 1 species